rnacentral:rRNA from 1 species
UACGAAGGGGGCUAGCGUUGCUCGGAAUCACUGGGCGUAAAGCGUGCGUAGGCGGUUCGUUAAGUCUGCUGUGAAAGCCCUGGGCUCAACCUGGGAACUGCAGUGGAUACUGGCGGACUAGAGUGUGAUAGAGGAUGGUGGAAUUCCCGGUGUAGCGGUGAAAUGCGUAGAGAUCCGGAAGAACACCGGUGGCGAAGGCGGCCUGCUGGGCGAGUACGCUGACGCUGAGGCGCGACAGCGUGGGGAGCAAACGAGG